AGAAUGAACGCUGGCGGCGUGCUUAACACAUGCAAGUCGAACGAGAAAGGUCCUUCGGGACCGAGUAUAGUGGCGCACGGGUGAGUAACGCGUAGGCAACCUACCCUCGGGACCGGGAUAACAGUGCGAAAGUGCUGCUAAUACCGGAUACGACCUUGAGACGGGAGUUUCAAGUUGAAAGUCGGCCUCUCGCAGAAGCCGAUGUUCGGGGAUGGGCCUGCGUCCUAUCAGCUUGUUGGUGAGGUAACGGCUCACCAAGGCGACGACGGGUAGCUGGUCUGAGAGGAUGAUCAGCCACACUGGCACUGAAACACGGGCCAGACUCCUACGGGAGGCAGCAGUGAGGAAUUUUGCGCAAUGGGAGCAAUCCUGACGCAGCAACGCCGCGUGGGUGAUGAAGGCCUUCGGGUCGUAAAGCCCUGUCAGGUGGGAAGAAUACCCUUGGUUCGAAUAGAGCUGAGGAAUGACGGUACCACCAGAGGAAGCACCGGCUAACUCCGUGCCAGCAGCCGCGGUAA
rnacentral:rRNA from 1 species